CCUCUGCGUUUAUUUUUAUGAGGGGUUGGACCUGCCCGGUGAUUAGUCAAGUUUUGAAAUUAUUUUUAUAAUCAGAAAUUUUUUUAAACGGCUGCAAUUAGUAAUUGUGCUAAGGUAGCGUAAUCAUUUGCCCCUUAAUUAGGGGAAGGUAUGAAUGGUUUGACGUGGGAAAAGCUGUCUCUUUUAUAUAAAAAGAAGUUUAUUUUUGAGUGAAAAAGCUUAGAUGUUUAUAAAAGACGAGAAGACCCUAUCGAACUUGAAUUAUGUUUUUAAGUUUUUAAAUACAAAAAGUUUAGUUGGGGAAACUUAAAGUUAAGAAAAACGUUUUUUUGUCAUAAAUUGAUCCUGUAUUAUAGAAAAAUGAAAAAGUUACCGUAGGGAUAACAGCGCUUUCUUCUCUGAGAGGACUAAUUAAAGAGUUGGUUGCGACCUCGAUGUUGGAUUAAGGUUUCUUUUUGGGGUAGGAGUUAAAAUAGUAAAACUGUUCGUUUUUUAAAACCUUACAUGAUCUGAG
rnacentral:rRNA from 1 species